rnacentral:rRNA from 1 species
AGAACCUUACCAGGCCUUGACAUGCAUCUCUAAGUUGGUGAAAGCCAGCGAGUCCCGAAAGGGACAAUUUGCACAGGUGCUGCAUGGCUGUCGUCAGCUCGCGUCGUGAGAUGUUGGGUUAAGUCCCGCAACGAGCGCAACCCCUGUGAACUGUUGCCACCGAGCCGUGAGGCUCGAGCACUCUGUUCAGACUGCCCCGCUUUAACGGGGAGGAAGGUGGGGACGACGUCAAGUCAGUAUGGCCCUUACGGCCUGGGCUGCACACGUACUACAAUGCCCAGUACAGAACGAUCCUAGACCGCGAGGUGGAGGAAAUCACUAAAACUGGGCCCAGUUCAGAUUGAAGUCUGCAACUCGACUUCAUGAAGCCGGAAUCGCUAGUAAUGGCGCAUCAGCUACGGCGCCGUGAAUACGUUCCCGGGCCUUGUCACACCGA